rnacentral:rRNA from 1 species
GAUUAACGCUGGCGGCGUGCAUAACACAUGCAAGUCGAACGAUGAAACUUUAAUGAACCCUUCGGGGAGAAUUAAAGCGGCUUAGUGGCGAACGGGUGAGUAACGCGUGAGUAACCUGCCUUACACAAGGGGAUAGCCUUUGGAAACGAAGAAUAAUACCCUAUAAAACCAUAAAAGCACAUGCAAUUAUGGUCAAAGUGAUAGCGGUGUAAGAUGGACUUGCGUCUGAUUAGCUAGUUGGUGAGAUAAAAGCCCACCAAGGCAACGAUCAGUAGCCGGCUUGAGAGAGUGUACGGCCACAUUGGGACUGAGACACGGCCCAGACUCCGACGGGAGGCAGCAGUGGGGAAUUUUGCACAAUGGGGGAAACCCUGAUGCAGCGACGCCGCGUGAUUUAGAAGGCCUUCGGGUUGUAAAAAUCUUUUGUAUAGGAAGAAAAUGACAGUACUAUACGAAUAAGGUCCGGCUAAUUACGUG